UGCACGGUUGACUGUAAGCCGCUUUGGAUAAAAGUGUCUGCUAAAUGACAUACU
rfam:Salmo salar isolate Sally breed double haploid chromosome ssa01, whole genome shotgun sequence.